UGGGGAAUUUUGGACAAUGGGCGCAAGCCUGAUCCAGCCAUGCCGCGUGCAGGAUGAAGGCCUUCGGGUUGUAAACUGCUUUUGUACGGAACGAAAAGGCUUUCUCUAAUAAAGAGGGCUCAUGACGGUACCGUAAGAAUAAGCACCGGCUAACUACGUGCCAGCAGCCGCGGUAAUACGUAGGGUGCAAGCGUUAAUCGGAAUUACUGGGCGUAAAGCGUGCGCAGGCGGUGAUGUAAGACAGUUGUGAAAUCCCCGGGCUCAACCUGGGAACUGCAUCUGUGACUGCAUUGCUGGAGUGCGGCAGAGGGGGAUGGAAUUCCGCGUGUAGCAGUGAAAUGCGUAGAUAUGCGGAGGAACACCGAUGGCGAAGGCAAUCCCCUGGGCCUGCACUGACGCUCAUGCACGAAAGCGUGGGGAGCAAACAGG
rnacentral:rRNA from 1 species